rnacentral:rRNA from 1 species
GGUCUAAGUUCAACGCUUAACGUUGUGAUGCUAUAGAAAGUUUGACUAGAGUUGGAUAGAGGCAAGGGAAUUCCAUGUGUAGCGGUAAAAUGCGUAAAGAUAUGGAGGAACACCAGUAGCGAAGCGGCUUGCUGGGUCUUAACUGACGCUGAGGCACGAAAGCGUGGGGAGCAAACAGGAUUAGAUACCCUGGUAGUCCACGCCGUAAACGAUGAGUACUAAGUGUUGGGAGUGCUGAAGUUAACGCAUUAAGUACUCCGCCUGAGUAGUACGUACGCAAGUAUGAAACUUAAAGGAAUUGACGGGACUCCGCACAAGCGGUGGAUCAUGUUGUUUAAUUCGAAGAUACACGAAAAACCUUACCAGGUCUUGACAUACUCUGCAAAGCUAUAGAAAUAAGUGGAGGUUAUCAGGGAUACAGGUGGUGCAUGGUUGUCGUCAGCUCGUGUCG